CCUCUGCCUUGUGGGAUCCAAAAACAAAGUUCUGUGAGUUUGCUUCAUUUUUCCUGCUCUGGUCUCUGUAGUUACUGUCGCCAACCCCUUGCCUCCUGGACAGAUCUCCCGUCUCCUGAGAGGUCCCCACCAGAACGUCUUUAUAUGACAACUGCCCUACUGAUUGACUUGGACCUGAGGCAGGUUCUGUUCUGUUCUGAUCUUUUCUCUUAGAUGUCUUCUCAGGCACCUCCUGUGUUACUGAGGGAGCUGGACUAGUAGAUUGUUUUUGACUAGUGUUUGGCUCAUCUGUUGGGUCAGAACCCCUCUGAUCACCAAGGGAUACUUGGGAUUGGUCAACACACUUCUUUGAGUUUGCUUCAUUUGUUAUAUUCUCGUCGGUCUGGUUACUAGAGGUCUUCAGUUCAUUCAGAACUCUAACCUCUGUGUUGCCUUCACCAUCAAGGCUUUUUGAUGGCUCCGUUGACCCGUGUGACGUCCCCUUCAGGUCUUCCUCAUCCAAGAGUUUACUGGCUGGUUGAGUUGGGUCUGAGGCACGUCCUCCUGUGUUCUGAUCAGCUGUCUCGGGUGUGGAUGAGGCCUGUGUGACUGAUGUAGGACUAGGUUGGUUUGGCUCAUUCACUGGUGCGUCUACGUUUGCCUUCGAUGGACCCUUGGCCUGGUCUUCUGGCAGUGUCUGGUGUGGGGAUGGGUUUGGAGAGGCUAUAGGUAUGGUUGGAGGGCCAGUAGGUGUGGCGGUGAUGACAGGAGGGCCAGUAGGUGUGGCAGUGUUGACAGGAGGGCCAGUAGGUGUGGCAGUGUUGACAGGAGGGCCAGCAGGUGUGGCGGUGUUGACAGGAGGGCCAGUAGGUGUGGCAGUGUUGACAGGAGGGCCAGUACGUGUGGCAGUGUUAACAGGAGGGCCAGUAGGUGUAGUGGUGUUGACAGGAGGGUCAUCCACCACUGAAGUAGAGCUCUCACUGACAGACAACUCAUCUUUCUCUUGACGUGUGUCAGUGCUCAGCUCAAUAGCGCUGGAAGAGCCUCCACUCUAUGAACAAUGUAUACAAAAAUGAGGCCUUUUAACACAUAAAUCAUUAAGGAUCAGCAUUUCUGAUUCAUAAGCCCUGCCCAUUAAAGCGUUCCCAUUCCAUGCUAAUUUCACUGGGUUCCCUUGACUUAAAACCCACGUCUGGUCACAUCCUAACGUCACAAAUUGAAAGUGUGACUGGUUCUGUUUAAACAAAUAUAUAAUUGUAAAUCUCUUAUC
ensembl:lncRNA